GUGGAGGUCGGAGAGGUCGAUGGUGGGGAUUGGUUGGGCGUUGGGUCGGGUCGUGGGCUGGAAUUGCUGUAAUAUUUCGGGCGGGUGGAUAAAGAUUCGGGGGAUGGAGGAGAGACCCGAGUCGAUGAGGCCUUUGACUCCGAGCUUGGAGUCGUCGAAUUGCUUCACUUCUUCAGCUCGGUCAUAACCCCGUUCGCCGAUCAAGGAAAGGUCUGAUGCAAUUGCAGGAAAGGUUCGAUCGAAAUGAAAGUUUGAAGGGUUGGAUAUUGGGUGGGGUGGGUGCAGAAUUUAUUACCCAACAAGAAGCAGAAAAAGCUAAAAUAUUCAGUCUGGAAAUAAAUGAAGAUUGUUAUCUCAUAUAAAUGUUUUAAGUGCUCAUUUUAAUUGGUACAAAGGAUUAACUGCAGCAGAAGAAUGACAUGGUGGUACCACAAUGGUUGAAAAUUAUGUACAGCACAGUAUUCUUCGAGACUUGCAUUACACACUCGGAUGCAAAAAAGAACGAUAUAGAUCAUUUCUGCAUUGAUUGUCUUCAACCUAUAUGUCUGAACUGUCUUGCCCAGCAUAUGUUUCACAAGCACAUUAAGAUUCAGAGAUAUAUUUACAGUGAUGUGAUUAAUUGUCGAGACUUAUGCAAGCUCUUCAACUGUUCUGGCAUACAGACAUAUCAGACAAACAAAGCCAAAGUGGUAUUCUUGAAGCAAAGGCAUCAACCACAACAGCAAGAGCAACAGCGACAACAUUAUAAUAAAUCGGGGAGUAUAUGUGUACCACCUGCCACAAGAAUUUGCAAGACAAUUCCCUCUAUUGCAGUGUUGCCUGCAAGGUUUCAGCAAUACUUGGAAACGAAUGCCAGAGAAAAACUAUAUGUGGUGGUCAUAGUUUUGAAGAUAAUAAUGAGAAAAAGGGAGGAAAAAAAAAUCUAGAAGUACCAUUUUCCAAAAGGCCAAAGUUAAGGAGAAAAGGAGUCCCUCUAAGAUCCCCAAUGUUCUGAUCAGGAAAGUAACCGUUCAUUGAAACAAGGAAAGGUUAUAGACAUCGGAAUGGACCCGAAUCGAAUCCAUUAAAACAAUGUUCUUUACAUUCACAUUUCACAGUGAACCGCCAGAUUGAAUUUUGUGUACUAUAUUGGGUAUGUCUCACAUUUUAGUCUGGGUUCUUCCUCCUCUGGUUUGAUGACAGUGAGCGUCGACGGAAGAUGGUUUUUUUUUUCUUCUUUUUUUCCUGAACUUUUGGGUUGGUUCAGUAUGGGUUGUGCAAGUAGUGCCGCCGCACAAGGCCUCUGAAAAUCAGUUGGUGCAGCAAACAAGUGCUUGCGGAGGAGAGUGAUAUAUAUGAAGUUCGUUGUUGUCAUGAAUUAUAACUCUCGUGUUUAACUUUCUUAGUUAUCUUGAUUAGCUGUUUGACAAUAAUUUUUAUAUUAUUGAAUGAUCUUGUCACAACAUUUAUUUUAUUA